rnacentral:rRNA from 1 species
UGCAGUCGAGCGAACAGACAAGGAGCUUGCUCCUUUGACGUUAGCGGCGGACGGGUGAGUAACACGUGGGUAACCUACCUAUAAGACUGGGAUAACUUCGGGAAACCGGAGCUAAUACCGGAUAAUAUUUCGAACCGCAUGGUUCGAUAGUGAAAGAUGGUUUUGCUAUCACUUAUAGAUGGACCCGCGCCGUAUUAGCUAGUUGGUAAGGUAACGGCUUACCAAGGCGACGAUACGUAGCCGACCUGAGAGGGUGAUCGGCCACACUGGAACUGAGACACGGUCCAGACUCCUACGGGAGGCAGCAGUAGGGAAUCUUCCGCAAUGGGCGAAAGCCUGACGGAGCAACGCCGCGUGAGUGAUGAAGGUCUUCGGAUCGUAAAACUCUGUUAUUAGGGAAGAACAUACGUGUAAGUAACUAUGCACGUCUUGACGGUACCUAAUCAGAAAGCCACGGCUAACUACGUGCCAGCAGCCGCGGUAAUACGUAGGUGGCAAGCGUUAUCCGGAAUUAUUGGGCGUAAAGCGCGCGUAGGCGGUUUUUUAAGUCUGAUGUGAAAGCCCACGGCUCAACCGUGGAGGGUCAUUGGAAACUGGAAAACUUGAGUGCAGAAGAGGAAAGUGGAAUUCCAUGUGUAGCGGUGAAAUGCGCAGAGAUAUGGAGGAACACCAGUGGCGAAGGCGACUUUCUGGUCUGUAACUGACGCUGAUGUGCGAAAGCGUGGGGAUCAAACAGGAUUAGAUACCCUGGUAGUCCACGCCGUAAACGAUGAGUGCUAAGUGUUAGGGGGUUUCCGCCCCUUAGUGCUGCAGCUAACGCAUUAUGCACUCCGCCUGGGGAGUACGACCGCAAGGUUGAAACUCAAAGGAAUUGACGGGGAACCGCCACAAGCGGUGGGAGCAUGGUGGUUUAAUUCCAAAGCAACGCGAAGAACCUUUCCAAUUCUUGACAUCCUUUUGACACCUCCUAG